UGUUUUUCAUUACCAUGGGAAACGGGGUUAAUUUUCUUCUGACGUUUUGCAUAUACUGGUUCCUAUUUUAUUGCUUUUUCUUUUUUGCUACUAUAAUCUCUUCAUUGCCUUACAUCACCUGCUAUUAUUAUUUAUUUCAAAGUAAUUUUAUAUGAGAUUUAUACUGGAGAUGAUGGCAAGAUGACAAUAGGAAGCUUCGAUUCUGAGGCUAUAUGUCUACUCCUGACGACGGUUUCACAGUGCUGACUGGAGAAAACUCAUCAGUCUCAAGUACAGAUUGUUCCAGCCUGCUGUCAGGGAGUUUGUGACCUCAUCAGCAGAAAGCACUGAAUGGUGUUAAGAGGCUUGUUGGUGUAUAAAGUGAAAGGCUGAACCGAGGCUGCCCCAGAGGGAAGAGUACUGAUUGAAGCAUGGUGUACCUCCACUAUGAGUUUUGAAGGGUCACACGUGGCAGUAAGGAAAAAUGUGGAUCGACUGUGAGGCAGAACGGCAGUUUAUCCUCACUAUCAUUCCAAGGAACUGUACCUGACAUUAAGCAUCUAAGGAUGAAAAGCAGUCAUUGUUGUGCUUGAGUCCAAAGACCCUGUCUUUGCCAAGGAGAUGGGCUAGAAACACAUGCUGCGGCAGAAUGGAGAAGGUCAAGGGUGGACCGAAUAUGGUAUUUAUUGUUUGUCAACAAUAGCAUUUUUAAUUUUUUGUCUCCUUUUUACUUAUGUACAUCCUUUUUAAAGCCAUGUAACCUAAGUAGUACCCUGGCCCUUAUAUUUGCUUUUGAAGUCUCGUGUUUUCUCUGUUUGGGUGAAGUGCAGACAUGCUUCCUUAAAUACGAAGGAAAGAUACCUUGUUUGUUGAAAGUAGACCUGUUCUUCCCUGAGAAGUGAAAAUGUCAGCUUUCUAGAAGUGGGUGGGUGGGACAUCCAGCUGAGCUGGAACAGCCAACUGAAAGAUUAGAAAUCCUCUGGUCAACCCCAACUGAACCUUGUUCUUAUGGGCCACUGAAUGGGUAGUUUGAGAAGGGAAAUUUCAGGAGAGGGCAGAUGAGGAAAGGGCAGAACAGUGGUUUCCGUUAAUGAAACUAGGCAGUUACAUCGGUAAGGAAGGGUUCCUGGGGAAUAACACGAUAGAUGUAUUCCCCUGUAUUCAAAUCUUGUUCUCCUGCUAGUUGACUCCUGAAAAAUUUCCCCAUGCCUUUGAACCUCAGUUACCUUACAUAA